AUUAUCCAUUUCUAACAUCAGUUGUAAAUUGGUGCUUUGGUAACAUAUGUCAGAUAAUUUUUGUAGGGUUUAGGAAUCCAGCCUGCAAAACUUUACUGAUUCAAGUAGUAUUUGCUCAUGCAGGGAGUGCUGUUAGAGUCAACAGAACUCACGUGAGUAAAGGGUUGGAGGAUUUGACCUGUAGGAAUCAUUUCACCAGGAAUUUAACCUUCUGUUUAGAAGAAUGAGGGCGGGCAGACUGGGACUAUACAGCUGACUGCACACGAGCAAAAGAGAGAAGAGGGAAGAAAAGCAAAAAAAAAAAAAGUCAGGAGAAGCUUCUCUCCAGGCAGAAGGGAGCCCCUAGUGUCCACGAUCCAUGUGUAAAAAGGAAAAGAAAAAAAAAAGAAAACGUUUUCAGGCUGGAGGAUUUCCACAUUUCGGGGGAGGGAGAUGUGGUGGCAAAUGCCUCUUUAAAUCGCUCCACUGGGUUUUUCUUCUGAUCGGCUCGACAGGUGAGGCGUGCUGAGAUCAACCCCCUCGGAGGGAGCUCCGCUCCGCUCUGUUGUGCCUUGUGACCCAGUAGUUUGAAACCUCUUUGCAAGCACCCUGCUAUGCCAGACCACAAACAGGGAUACAGAAGCAGGUUUGGGGCUCAACUGCUCUUGGGGGCCUGGACACAACCACGGCACAGUAUGUAGGGAAUAGGUUGACCACAGACAUUCCCUCCUGGCUGCUUAAUCCAAUGGCAUAAUCCCUCCACAAAAUUGGCUGCUUUGGCCGGCUGCAGAAGGAAUGUUGUGUUAAUGAAGCUAGAAUAACUAAAGCAUUGGGAUUUUUGGCUUGAACAGUCCCAGAGUUAUAAGGCUGCACACACACUAUUUACCCAGGAUUAUUACCUCUGUUGAUCUCCCCUUUGAUCUGAUUAAAAAUUGCCUAGCAAGUAAUGGAAAUUCUACCUUGGAAUCCUGACUGGCCGGGUUGUAAUUUUAACAACUCUGAGUUGAAGGCAGGGAGACCAAGGUAUGAAGAUGCUGGAAACUGAAUUAAAGGGACACUGUCUGCAGUGUCCUUGUAGCCAGUCAGUCCCAGGAUAUUAGAGAGACAAGAAGGGUGAAGUGAUAUCUUUGAUUGGACCAAUUUCUGUUGAUGAGAGACAGAAGCUUUUGAGCUUACACAGAGCUCUUAUGCUUAAGGAUGCCACCUGCCCAGGGGUGGCAAGUUUGUAGAAAUUUUGGUGGUGCCCAGAACCCGCCCCUGCCCAAAC